CGUACAAGCAGUGGGAGCACGCUUAGGCGUGUGACUGCGUACCUUUUGUAUAAUGGGUCAGCGACUUAUAUUCUGUAGCAAGGUUAACCGAAUAGGGGAGCCGAAGGGAAACCGAGUCUUAACUGGGCGUUAAGUUGCAGGGUAUAGACCCGAAACCCGGUGAUCUAGCCAUGGGCAGGUUGAAGGUUGGGUAACACUAACUGGAGGACCGAACCGACUAAUGUUGAAAAAUUAGCGGAUGACUUGUGGCUGGGGGUGAAAGGCCAAUCAAACCGGGAGAUAGCUGGUUCUCCCCGAAAGCUAUUUAGGUAGCGCCUCGUGAAUUCAUCUCCGGGGGUAGAGCACUGUUUCGGCAAGGGGGUCAUCCCGACUUACCAACCCGAUGCAAACUGCGAAUACCGGAGAAUGUUAUCACGGGAGACACACGGCGGGUGCUAACGUCCGUCGUGAAGAGGGAAACAACCCAGACCGCCAGCUAAGGUCCCAAAGUCAUGGUUAAGUGGGAAACGAUGUGGGAAGGCCCAGACAGCCAGGAUGUUGGCUUAGAAGCAGCCAUCAUUUAAAGAAAGCGUAAUAGCUCACUGGUCGAGUCGGCCUGCGCGGAAGAUGUAACGGGGCUAAACCAUGCACCGAAGCUGCGGCAGCGACGCUUAUGCGUUGUUGGGUA
rnacentral:rRNA from 1 species